rnacentral:tRNA from 1 species
GAGAAUUUAAUUAAAAAAAAUAAUAUAGAAGUGUCAAUUCUAAAUUACCUUGUUGGUAAUUCUUU